rnacentral:tRNA from 1 species
GGGGAUAUGGCGGAAUGGUAGACGCUGCGGACUCAAAAUCCGUUGGUCCUUAAAGACCGUGAGGGUUCAAGUCCCUCUAUCCCCA